rnacentral:tRNA from 1 species
GAUAGCGUGGCCGAGCGGUCCUAAGGAGGCCUGGAUUAAGGCUCCAGUCUCUUCGGAGGCGUGGGUUCGAAUCCCACCGCUGUCA